UCCUUGUCUCAGAACUGUCCAGUGAGUUCCAGAACACGGCACUUACCUCCUGUGCCUCUUCUACAUCCUGGGAUGUUAUCCAUGGUAAAGAUAACAUUCCUUACAGAGGCCUUCUCUCCAAGCAUUGUCAGCAGAUAUAAUUAAUGAUGGACUGAAAAUCAGCAUCUAUUUAUCAAGACCCAGGAACAUUACAUUACGCAUCCAGUUUGCACCAAGUGAUGUUGAAAUAAUGCCUAAGGUAGCAUAAAGUACUCUGAAGAAGAAAUACAGAAGCCCUGAAAUCAAGCAUACUCUUUUGUUAUUUAGAAGCAAUAGCAACAAACUCCAAGGAUUUCUUACCGUGGAAAUACCAGGUUAGUUCCUGAGAUUUUUUUUUUUCUAAAUAAUGUCGAUGUUCUUGGUUGCUGAAAUAAUUUAGGUCUUUGCUGAAUGUAGACUGGCAGGAAACAUGCAUGAAGAUUGUCAAAAUUGUCCUGCAUUAGCAUUUAUUUAGAUAGUGUUUUCUGUUUAUAAAAUUCUGAUAUUCACUGUCCCUGUACAAAUGUUUUUUGUAACUACCAUGGAGGUAAUCAUGCACAAGCCAUGCAAAAUUCCUAUCUCAAAUUCUCUCAGUAAAAUAGUGUAUUUAUAUAAGUCCAUUUUUGAAAUGUACCCAUCUGGAGAUGUCCAAAGCAAUGUGUAAUAAACAUAAAAAUUAAUCUGUUGA